GACGAACGCUGGCGGCGUGCUUAACACAUGCAAGUCGAACGGUAAGGCCCUUCGGGGUACACGAGUGGCGAACGGGUGAGUAACACGUGGGUGAUCUGCCCUGCACUUCGGGAUAAGCCUGGGAAACUGGGUCUAAUACCGGAUAGGACCACUGCCUGCAUGGGUGGUGGUGGAAAGCUUUUGCAGUGUGGGAUGGGCCCGCGGCCUAUCAGCUUGGUGGUGGGGUGAUGGCCUACCAAGGCGACGACGGGUAGCCGGCCUGAGAGGGUGACCGGCCACACUGGGACUGAGAUACGGCCCAGACUCCUACGGGAGGCAGCAGUGGGGAAUAUUGCACAAUGGGCGCAAGCCUGAUGCAGCGACGCCGCGUGAGGGAUGACGGCCUUCGGGUUGUAAACCUCUUUCAGCACCGACGAAGCGCAAGUGACGGUAGGUGUAGAAGAAGGACCGGCCAACUACGUGCCAGCAGCCGCGGUAA
rnacentral:rRNA from 1 species